rnacentral:lncRNA from 1 species
ACUACGGUUACCCGACGAUGACGCUGGAGGAGCUGGCCGCUGCCACGUUCAGCCCGCUCAAGAACGCUGAUUUCAACCGUACGAUCGUCGAGCGCGGGGUCGAUCUGGCGGACCUGGGGUGUCUCCCGCUUUCCACGGGGUGGUACGGCGGGGCCGACGAGAACAGGAGGUUGAUUAAGGUGCAGUGCUAUUCCACCAAAGAUACUGUGAACUUCUACAUGCGUCCAAUCGAAGGGUUAACUGUUCUCGUUGACUUGGACACCCAACAGGUGGUGGAGAUUUCGGAUAAGGGCAGGGGCAUCCCCAU